CCCCUUUCAUCGCCGGGCGGCGGCGCCUAUAUUCAGCGGGCCGGCGCAAGCCGGCUAUGGCGAUAAACGGUUGUCGGAAUAAACCUUUCGGACCCGGGGGCAGUACCCGGCGCCUCCACCAGAGCCCACACCCACGCGAUCCGCGUCGGGUGGGUUGGUCUCCGGCGGGGGCGAAACAGGAUCGACGAGGGCGUAAAGGGCUUUCUUUCGCUCGGCAUGGUUCCGCCGUCAUCGGGCCGACCUAUAGUUGCGAAUGACAACUAUGCUCCGGUUGCCGUUGCCGCGUGAGCGGUAAAGGUACCGAAAUAAAGUCCUGAUCGGGUAGCUCUGAUUAGGCGGGGUUCGGAGGCACCUGGCAACAGAAGCCUCCACU
rfam:Azorhizobium caulinodans ORS 571 DNA, complete genome.